GACGAACGCUGGCGGCGUGCUUAACACAUGCAAGUCGAACGGAAAGGCCCUGCUUUUGUGGGGUGCUCGAGUGGCGAACGGGUGAGUAACACGUGAGUAACCUGCCCUUGACUUUGGGAUAACUUCAGGAAACUUGGGCUAAUACCGGAUAGGAGCUCCUGCUGCAUGGUGGGGGUUGGAAAGUUUCGGCGGUUGGGGAUGGACUCGCGGCUUAUCAGCUUGUUGGUGGGGUAGUGGCUUACCAAGGCUUUGACGGGUAGCCGGCCUGAGAGGGUGACCGGCCAAAUUGGGACUGAGAUACGGCCCAGACUCCUACGGGAGGCAGCAGUGGGGAAUAUUGCACAAUGGGCGGAAGCCUGAUGCAGCAACGCCGCGGGCGGGAUGACGGCCUUCGGGCUGUAAACCGCUUUCGCCUGUGACGAAGCGUGAGUGACGGUAAGGGGUAAAGAAGCACCGGCUAACUACGUGC
rnacentral:rRNA from 1 species